UUAAGCGACUAAGCGUACACGGUGGAUGCCCUGGCAGUCAGAGGCGAUGAAGGACGUGCUAAUCUGCGAUAAGCGUCGGUAAGGUGAUAUGAACCGUUAUAACCGGCGAUUUCCGAAUGGGGAAACCCAGUGUGAUUCGUCACACUAUCAUUAACUGAAUCCAUAGGUUAAUGAGGCGAACCGGGGGAACUGAAACAUCUAAGUACCCCGAGGAAAAGAAAUCAACCGAGAUUCCCCCAGUAGCGGCGAGCGAACGGGGAGCAGCCCAGAGCCUGAAUCAGUGUGUGUGUUAGUGGAAGCGUCUGGAAAGGCGCGCGAUACAGGGUGACAGCCCCGUACACAAAAAUGCACAUACUGUGAGCUCGAUGAGUAGGGCGGGACACGUGGUAUCCUGUCUGAAUAUGGGGGGACCAUCCUCCAAGGCUAAAUACUCCUGACUGACCGAUAGUGAACCAGUACCGUGAGGGAAAGGCGAAAAGAACCCCGGCGAGGGGAGUGAAAAAGAACCUGAAACCGUGUACGUACAAGCAGUGGGAGCACGCUUCGGCGUGUGACUGCGUACCUUUUGUAUAAUGGGUCAGCGACUUAUAUUCUGUAGCAAGGUUAACCGAAUAGGGGAGCCGAAGGGAAACCGAGUCUUAACUGGGCGUUAAGUUGCAGGGUAUAGACCCGAAACCCGGUGAUCUAGCCAUGGGCAGGUUGAAGGUUGGGUAACACUAACUGGAGGACCGAACCGACUAAUGUUGAAAAAUUAGCGGAUGACUUGUGGCUGGGGGUGAAAGGCCAAUCAAACCGGGAGAUAGCUGGUUCUCCCCGAAAGCUAUUUAGGUAGCGCCUCGUGAAUUCAUCUCCGGGGGUAGAGCACUGUUUCGGCAAGGGGGUCAUCCCGACUUACCAACCCGAUGCAAACUGCGAAUACCGGAGAAUGUUAUCACGGGAGACACACGGCGGGUGCUAACGUCCGUCGUGAAGAGGGAAACAACCCAGACCGCCAGCUAAGGUCCCAAAGUCAUGGUUAAGUGGGAAACGAUGUGGGAAGGCCCAGACAGCCAGGAUGUUGGCUUAGAAGCAGCCAUCAUUUAAAGAAAGCGUAAUAGCUCACUGGUCGAGUCGGCCUGCGCGGAAGAUGUAACGGGGCUAAACCAUGCACCGAAGCUGCGGCAGCGACACUAUGUGUUGUUGGGUAGGGGAGCGUUCUGUAAGCCUGUGAAGGUGUGCUGUGAGGCAUGCUGGAGGUAUCAGAAGUGCGAAUGCUGACAUAAGUAACGAUAAAGCGGGUGAAAAGCCCGCUCGCCGGAAGACCAAGGGUUCCUGUCCAACGUUAAUCGGGGCAGGGUGAGUCGACCCCUAAGGCGAGGCCGAAAGGCGUAGUCGAUGGGAAACAGGUUAAUAUUCCUGUACUUGGUGUUACUGCGAAGGGGGGACGGAGAAGGCUAUGUUGGCCGGGCGACGGUUGUCCCGGUUUAAGCGUGUAGGCUGGUUUUCCAGGCAAAUCCGGAAAAUCAAGGCUGAGGCGUGAUGACGAGGCACUACGGUGCUGAAGCAACAAAUGCCCUGCUUCCAGGAAAAGCCUCUAAGCAUCAGGUAACAUCAAAUCGUACCCCAAACCGACACAGGUGGUCAGGUAGAGAAUACCAAGGCGCUUGAGAGAACUCGGGUGAAGGAACUAGGCAAAAUGGUGCCGUAACUUCGGGAGAAGGCACGCUGAUAUGUAGGUGAAGUCCCUCGCGGAUGGAGCUGAAAUCAGUCGAAGAUACCAGCUGGCUGCAACUGUUUAUUAAAAACACAGCACUGUGCAAACACGAAAGUGGACGUAUACGGUGUGACGCCUGCCCGGUGCCGGAAGGUUAAUUGAUGGGGUUAGCGGUAACGCGAAGCUCUUGAUCGAAGCCCCGGUAAACGGCGGCCGUAACUAUAACGGUCCUAAGGUAGCGAAAUUCCUUGUCGGGUAAGUUCCGACCUGCACGAAUGGCGUAAUGAUGGCCAGGCUGUCUCCACCCGAGACUCAGUGAAAUUGAACUCGCUGUGAAGAUGCAGUGUACCCGCGGCAAGACGGAAAGACCCCGUGAACCUUUACUAUAGCUUGACACUGAACAUUGAGCCUUGAUGUGUAGGAUAGGUGGGAGGCUUUGAAGUGUGGACGCCAGUCUGCAUGGAGCCGACCUUGAAAUACCACCCUUUAAUGUUUGAUGUUCUAACGUUGGCCCCUGAUCGGGGUUGCGGACAGUGUCUGGUGGGUAGUUUGACUGGGGCGGUCUCCUCCUAAAGAGUAACGGAGGAGCACGAAGGUUGGCUAAUCCUGGUCGGACAUCAGGAGGUUAGUGCAAUGGCAUAAGCCAGCUUGACUGCGAGCGUGACGGCGCGAGCAGGUGCGAAAGCAGGUCAUAGUGAUCCGGUGGUUCUGAAUGGAAGGGCCAUCGCUCAACGGAUAAAAGGUACUCCGGGGAUAACAGGCUGAUACCGCCCAAGAGUUCAUAUCGACGGCGGUGUUUGGCACCUCGAUGUCGGCUCAUCACAUCCUGGGGCUGAAGUAGGUCCCAAGGGUAUGGCUGUUCGCCAUUUAAAGUGGUACGCGAGCUGGGUUUAGAACGUCGUGAGACAGUUCGGUCCCUAUCUGCCGUGGGCGCUGGAGAACUGAGGGGGGCUGCUCCUAGUACGAGAGGACCGGAGUGGACGCAUCACUGGUGUUCGGGUUGUCAUGCCAAUGGCACUGCCCGGUAGCUAAAUGCGGAAGAGAUAAGUGCUGAAAGCAUCUAAGCACGAAACUUGCCCCGAGAUGAGUUCUCCCUGACUCCCUGAGAGUCCUGAAGGAACGUUGAAGACGACGACGUUGAUAGGCCGGGUGUGUAAGCGCAGCGAUGCGUUGAGCUAACCGGUACUAAUGAACCGUGAGGCUUAACCUU
rnacentral:rRNA from 1 species